rnacentral:rRNA from 1 species
AUGGCCGCAGGCAGGAAUGCAUUGGUUAAAUCGGUCCUCACUGCCAUCGCGAUCUACCAUACCACGACACUUGUCAUUCCAGUCGAGGUUUUGCAAGCCAUUGACAAGAUCCGGAGGGCUUUUCUUUGGGCAGGGUCCGACAAGGUUUCUGGGGGCAAAUGCAAAAUUAACUGGACUACCGUUUGCCGCCCCAUGAUCCUCGGUGGCCUUGGCAUCCUUCACCUUGCAAAGUUUUCUCAUGAACUUCACCUCAGGUGGCCAUGGCUUGAGUGGAUCGCGCCGGAAAGACCUUGGGUAGGCACCGGUAACCCUUGCGAUAAUGAGGACAUGGACCUUUUUCACGCCCUCACGAAGGUCACGAUUGGCGAUGGGCGUAAGGCGAGCUUCUGGGAGUCGGUUUGGCUGGAUGGGCUUAGACCUAAGCACAUCGCCCCAUUAAUUUUUAAAAUUUCCACAAGCAAAAGGUGGACUGUGAGGGAGGCAAUUCAAAACGGUGCUUGGGUAGACAAAAUUCAGCUCUCAAAUGGCCUAACAGUGGCACACAUCCAGGAAUUCAUCUCGCUUUGGACUUUGGUGGCCCACGUGCAGUUGCAAGACAACCAUCCCGACACCAUCAUCUGGAAGCUCACCACCUCAUGGCAUUAUUCGGCGGACACAUCAUACAAGGCGCAAUUUUACGGCAUCGUGGCUACUAGCUACAUGAGCACCAUUUGGAAGAACUGGGCCCCGCAAAAAUGCAAGUUUUUUUCCUGGUUGAUCACAUAG